CGCCCAUAGCUCAACUGGAUAGAGUACUUGACUACGAAUCAAGCGGUUAGAGGUUCGACUCCUCUUGGGCGCA
rnacentral:tRNA from 1 species